rnacentral:lncRNA from 1 species
CGGGGAGCUGCUGAGCGGCAUGGUGGCAUUGUGAAAGGGGACGAGAUCAUGGCAAUCAACGGCAAGAUUGUGACAGACUACACCCUGGCUGAGGCUGAGGCUGCCCUGCAGAAGGCCUGGAAUCAGGGCGGGGACUGGAUCGACCUUGUGGUUGCCGUCUGCCCCCCAAAGGAGUAUGACGAUGAGCUGACCUUCUUCUGAAGUCCAAAAGGGGAAACCAAAUUCACCGUUAGGAAACAGUGAGCUCCGGCCCCACCUCGUGAACACAAAGCCUCGGAUCAGCCUUGAGAGAGGCCACACUACACACACCAGAUGGCAUCCUUGGGACCUGAAUCUAUCACCCAGGAAUCUCAAACUCCCUUUGGCCCUGAACCAGGGCCAGAUAAGGAACAGCUCGGGCCACUCUUCUGAAGGCCAACGUGGAGGAAAGGGAGCAGCCAGCCAUUUGGGAGAAGAUCUCAAGGAUCCAGACUCUCAUUCCUUUCCUCUGGCCCAGUGAAUUUGGUCUCUCCCAGCUCUGGGGGACUCCUUCCUUGAACCCUAAUAAGACCCCACUGGAGUCUCUCUCUCUCCAUCCCUCUCCUCUGCCCUCUGCUCUAAUUGCUGCCAGGAUUGUCACUCCAAACCUUACUCUGAGCUCAUUAAUAAAAUA